rnacentral:rRNA from 1 species
UACGGAGGGUGCAAGCGUUAUCCGGAUUUACUGGGUUUAAAGGGUGCGUAGGUGGAUUAGUAAGUCAGUGGUGAAAUCUCCGAGCUUAACUCGGAAACUGCCAUUGAUACUAUUAGUCUUGAAUAUUCUGGAGGUGAGCGGAAUAUGUCAUGUAGCGGUGAAAUGCUUAGAUAUGACAUAGAACACCAAUUGCGAAGGCAGCUCACUACGGGAUUAUUGACACUGAGGCACGAAAGCGUGGGGAUCAAACAGG